AGUGAUGUAAGAAAAACACGAGCCUUAUAAAUUGUAGAGUGAUAAAAUAAAAUUCCAUCUGAUACAUUCAAAGAUUGGAAAAUAUGGAUAAAAUUUUCAAGUUUGUUUAUGUCAUGAUAAUCCUUCUUUCCCUAGUUUUUGUUUCAACGCAUGUUAUAAAACUUACAUGUACGUAGUAAAUCAAUUUUAUCUCAUUUUCAAAUUUCCUUCUUUACUUCGUACAAAAUAUUUUAUCUCAUUUUAAUAACAUUGUUUUUUUCUCUUAUUACAUUACAGUUGUCCAUCCUUGUAAAACUGAUCGUGAUUGUCCACAAACUCCCAAGGGGCGCUUUUCACGUCCUAAAAAAGUGAAGUGUCGUAAUGGCAUUUGUAUGUAAAGCUAUAUGAUUGCCACACCCAAAAGAAUUAAAAAAAAAUCACACUACUAGAAUAUUCUACAAUUUCUUAUUUAGUUAUUGUCAUCAUCUAUAAAAUGAGUUUUCUUUUACCUUUUCUUAUUUCACAUACCUUGUUAGUUUUCUAUAAUGCAAGUGAAAUGACAUAGACCAUGAAAAAUA
rnacentral:lncRNA from 1 species